CAACUUUCAACAACGGAUCUCUUGGCUCUCGCAUCGAUGAAGAACGCAGCA
rnacentral:rRNA from 3 species